GAUUAAAAAAGUUUUUGGCUAA
rnacentral:tRNA from 1 species